CCAAUAGCGUAUAUUUAAGUUGUUGCAGUUAAAAAGCUCGUAGUUGGAUUUCGGUUAAGAGCGACCGGUCCGCCGUUUGGUGUGCACUGGUUGGUUUUAACUUCCUGUAGAGGACGUGCUCUGGGUUUAACGACCUGGACUCGGAGUCUACGUGGUUACUUUGAAAAAAUUAGAGUGUUCAAAGCGGGCUUACGCUUGAAUAUUUCAGCAUGGAAUAACACUAUAGGACUCCUGUCCUAUUUCGUUGGUCUCGGGACGGGAGUAAUGAUUAAGAGGAACAGUUGGGGGCAUUCGUAUUUCAUUGUCAGAGGUGAAAUUCUUGGAUUUAUGAAAGACGAACUUCUGCGAAAGCAUUUGCCAAGGAUGUUUUCAUUA
rnacentral:rRNA from 1 species